rnacentral:rRNA from 1 species
GACGAACGCUGGCGGCGUGCCUAAUACAUGCAAGUCGAGCGAACGGACGAGAAGCUUGCUUCGCUGAUGUUAGCGGCGGACGGGUGAGUAACACGUGGAUAACCUACCUAUAAGACUGGGAUAACUUCGGGAAACCGGAGCUAAUACCGGAUAAUAUUUUGAACCGCAUGGUUCAAAAGUGAAAGACGGUCUUGCUGUCACUUAUAGAUGGUUACGCGCUGCAUUAGCUAGUUGGUAAGGUAACGGCUUACCAAGGCGACGAUGCAUAGCCGACCUGAGAGGGUGGUCGGCCACCCUGGAAGUGAGACACGGUCCAGAGUCCUGCGGGAGGCAGCAGUAGGGAAUCUUCCGCAAUGGGCGAAAGCCGGACGGAGCGACGCCGCGUGAGUGAUGAAGGUCUUCGGAUCGUAAAACGCUGUUAGUAGGGGAGAACAUAUGUGUAAGUAACUGUGCAGAGCUUGACGGUACCUAAUCAAAAAGCCCCGGCUAACUACGUG